rnacentral:rRNA from 1 species
CGCGUAGGCGGCUUUUCAAGCCGAUUGUGAAAUCCCCGGGCUUAACCUGGGAACUGCAGUCGGGACUGUCUAGCUAGAGUAUGGGAGAGGGAAGUGGAAUUUCAGGUGUAGCGGUGAAAUGCGUAGAUAUCUGAAGGAACAUCAGUGGCGAAAGCGACUUCCUGGACCAAUACUGACGCUCAUGUGCGAAAGCGUGGGAGCAACA